rnacentral:sRNA from 1 species
UCCAGGAGAAAACGCUAGCUUAAUGGA